UACGUAGGGUGCGAGCGUUGUCCGGAAUUAUUGGGCGUAAAGGGCUCGUAGGCGGUUUGUCGCGUCGGGAGUGAAAACCAGGUGCUUAACACCUGGCUUGCUUUCGAUACGGGCAGACUAGAGGUAUGCAGGGGAGAACGGAAUUCCUGGUGUAGCAGUGAAAUGCGUAGAUAUCAGGAGGAACACCGAUGGCGAAGGCAGGUCUCUGGGCUGACACUGACGCUCAUGCACGAAAGCGUGGGGAGCAAACAGG
rnacentral:rRNA from 1 species